UUAUAUAACCAAAAUAAUGCCGGUAUUCUGCUUGUCACAUUUGUCUCAUGUCUUUAUUUGUCACAAUUGCGAACUGGCGACCCUGUUAGUCAGGAAGUAUCAUUUUGGUAUUCUGGCUGAUACAGUCUCAAAAAAGUUCACCAAAUAGUGUGGUGAAAAGAAAAGCAAGCUAUCAGCUGUUUAUUUUAGUUGAUUAGAGAUGAGUGCAUGUUCACAAUGAUACUUUAUGAAUUGAUUGCACGCAAUUAGUUUUUUUUUUACCAAAUUUCAGCAGAAAAAUUUCUUGUAAAUAAUUGGAUAAUACUAUUAAUGAAAAUAAUACUGAAAUAGUUUAUAAUAAAUGCGUAAUAUAUGCAUUUUAUCUGAAUCAAUUGUUAAGUAAAUAUGAAAAAUGUUAACAACCUAACAAUCGACUAACACAUGUUCUCAUCCUUACAUUUGAGCAUAAUGGCAAUCGAAGAUUUUGGAUAUAUAUAUACAUACAUAUUUGUGUUUUGGAAAUCGAAAGAAUUUCCUAAACGUAUUUUCUUCAUAUAAAAAGUGAUCUUCCUUGUUGCGCAAAAUAGCCAGAUUGCGCCUACGAGUGUAGCUAAAACAUAGGCCAAUUGCAUCAACCAUUAUUGUGCUCUUGUUUUUCUGUGACCUGGUUUAAAGCACAUCACAAAUUAGAGACUGAUAUUGCUCAAAUAGAGAUGAGACAAACUCGCCAGAAUACCAAAAAGUCACUAUAGAGAUUACACCACAGAUUCGUCUCUAUUAGAGACUUGAGACUGCUCGCAGAAUACCGGCAUAAAUCUGAUCUUCGAUUGAGCA